CAGAGACGUCAGGCGGGGGCUGCUGCUUGGAGCAAAACAAAAGGGAAACCCGGGGGGCGGGGGGUGGGGGGGUCCGAUAGGGGAUUCAGUUCUGGAGUAGGGGAACCUUGACCCUAUCAAGAGUGACCUGGAGGGAAGAGGCGAGGGGAGGGAGAGCCAGGGGAGGGACAAGUGACGCCCGGGAGCGGGGCGUGGGGGAGGGCAGCGAUCCGGGUGGAGGAAAUUUGGGAGGAGUGUCCGGGGGGCAGCAACUUGAAAGGGGGAGGGAACUUCGCUGAGGAGACGUUCGGUGAUGGGAGCGCAAUGUAUGAGGGGAUACGGUGCCUCAGGUUUAAAAGAGCAGGAAGCUGAGUGAGAGGGUGCAGAAAGUGCCUUCGCUAGGCGGAGGUUACAGGUGGUGCCUCAGAGCGCUACUCUGAGGCUGCAGCCUGUAGUCCGGAGGGGAUCGAAGCACCGAGUGGAAGGGACAGUUUAGGGGCUGGAGUCCUGAGAGGAGGGAGAAGUUCGUGACUUUCUGAGAACUGGAAAGAAUGUGUUUCCCCCCUUGGGGGAGGCAUGGUGAGGGACUGUGGC
rnacentral:lncRNA from 1 species